UCAGGGUUGGUGUCGUUGGCUAGCAUUCAGGGUUUUGCUCCCUGUGGUUGUGUGUUCAACUCUCACUCUUCGAC